rnacentral:rRNA from 1 species
GUGUCAGCAGCCGCGGUAAUACGAGGGGUGCAAGCGUUAUUCGGAUUUAUUGGGCGUAAAGGGUGCGUAGGUGGUAUGUUAAGUCUGUUGUUAAAUUUUCCGGCCUAACCGGAAGCAUGCAAUGGAAACUGGCGUACUUGAGGAUGGAAGAGGGAAGUGGAAUUCUCGGAGUAGCGGUAAAAUGCGUGGAUCUCGAGAGGAACACCGAUGGCGAAGGCAGCUUCCUGGUCCAUAUCUGACACUGAGGCACGAAAGCGUGGGGAGCAAACAGGAUUAGAUACCCUGGUAGUCCACGCUGUAAACGAUGAUCACUGGACGUUGGUCUGGCUCUGCCGGAUCAGUGUCGAAGCUAACGCGUUAAGUGAUUCGCCUGGGAACUACGAUCGCAAGAUUAAA